rnacentral:lncRNA from 1 species
GCUCAAGUCAGCUCAGCAACUUACUUGACUUGGAGCCACUCUUUUUUGUUUAUUCCUCUUCUUUCCCGUUGCAAACUCCUAAUCUCUCUUGGCAUCAGGACUUGGUCUUUUGCUGUAGGAGCCACACCAAUGGAUACCACUCAACCAAAGUGACCCUGGGACAGAGCCAGUAUAAACACGGUCCCUCGUGAGUCAAGCGUCUGGGAUAAGUGAACAAACACUGGGCUGAAAACCUGGGACUGGCUGGUUGUUUAAGAGCUAUCACCUGCUCCUUCGUUCUCAUUGUAGCCCAGGGCUGGCUGGGUCAGGGGGUGCAUGUCUCAUCCAGAACCACACAGAGGCCAACAUUUUAUCAACGCUCACCAACCAAGAGAUCAACUGGGGAUGUAACAUGUCAGAAGGAAUCCAACCCAUAUUUCACAAGCAGGCGAGAGAGAGUGAAGUGGCUAAUGACCAACAUCUUUAGAGACAACUUGAGUAAUACAGAGCUGAUAAUUUUUUCCUGGGGUGAAAGACCUGCCAACAGCUGCUCUUGGAGAUAUUCCAAGGCUGGCCCAUCAGAGUGCAAAGAGCAAGUCAAGGAAAGAAACUGAGGGUAAUAAAUAUACCUUGGUCUUUUCAGGAUCCUUAUAGAAACAGGUUCACCUGCCAAAACAUGACACCUUCCAAUCUUAUUGUACUUGUCUGUGAUUAGAAGAAGGUCACCAAUUUGAUGCAUUGGCGAACAUGAGAGUAUAUGAUCAAAAGGAGAACAAGUGAGUGGGAUGAGGGUAGCCUUCCUGUCUUGCCCAGGUGGCAACGAUGACCUGCUAGGAAAUAUCUACAAGCUCUGAGAAAUUAGAGCAGAAGAAAUAAAAAUCAAGGGCUUAUGGUGUUUGGUGGACUAAAAAGUUCAAUAAAUGCCCUUUCAAGUCAGAAUGAUCAUUCAUGCCAUCAAUAUUUAUUUAAUUCUUCUUAGUAUUAAAUAAAUUAUUUAAUACUAAGUAUUAGCCAGCAGCAACCUAAGCAUUAGGGAUAAAAUAAGAAGAGAGGGUGUCUUUGCAGUCACUGAGCUAAAAUGUUGCUCUAUGGAUAGGGGCUAAUUGAAGACAUGGCUACCACAAUGGUGUGCAUUUUUUCAAGAGUUUUACCAGGCUUCAAACCUUUUGGUGGAGAGCGUACAAGGUUUAAGAGGAAGACGUCUAAUGCUCAACUACUUGGAUAACUUCAAGUGCAAAGGCCCCAACUUCAGAAAUGUCCCUUUAAGCCUCCUGACCUCUUCAUGGCUAAGGUUCUUAAUUUUGCUAUAUCCAGAGGAAUGGGACCACUUGGUCACUCAUGGGGCAAUGCAGGCUCUCCCAGGUGGGUGCCUGGAGCAGCAGUGACUAUCUAUGACUUCACAUCUCUGCCCUCACUUGGGGCCUGUUGCCUUUGGCCCUUGGUCUAAGCCCUGCCCAUAUAUGUCCUCUGGCUCAAGCUCUGAUGAUCACAUGAGACACUUUUCCUUAGACCCAAAAACAGGAUUGUUGGUCAGCUAGCAGAAUGGGCUGGUGGCCCCCUGGCAAGGAUGCCGGCUGUGACUCAAAGGCACCAGGAUUGGGCAAGGGAAAACCCCUUUAGGGAAACCAAUGAAGGUCCUUGGGGGAAAAGAACGGAGACUUGUGGUGGGGAAUUGGCGACUCUGGACAAAAAUAGACCUGGAAGAAAAGCAAAGGCGUCACUACCAGGAACCAGGUCUGCUGGGAAGUGCUGGGGGAAGGCCAACCAGGAGCGCCUGGUCAGGAAGCCAAGGGCACUGCAGCCUCUGUGCUCUGAAGCCAUUGUAGGCUGGGUAAGAAGGUGUGUGAUUACUGGGACUCUGUGUUCUAUACCCUUUCCCCAAAGAGAACAAGGUAUCUGACAGUCCUACGUGAUCUUCUGAGGAUGGCAGAUCAGAGUAUUGGAAUUUGAGGUCUACCCAGAUAAUCUGGAAGGUGUGGGUAUCCUGUUGGAGAGGAGGUGGUGCUUCUCCCCCACCCCAUGUGAAGGGAUGUCAUUAUAUAUUUUUGUUGUCUCUUUGCUUCUUCUUUUCUCUUAUUUAUUAAUUGCUUGAAAACAUGGGCAGGCAGGAGGAUAUUAGUUUCUCCAUUGAUCUUUGUACUUUAUUUUCCACAUACACCUUAAGAGAAUAAGGAAAAAUCUAUCUAUCACUGUGUAUUUUUGUAAGCUACCGUCCAAAUGUUUUCAUAAGUUUUAGAAAGUUCAUUUCUUGGUAAAAAAAAAAA